rnacentral:rRNA from 1 species
AACGGGGGGGCAAGCGUUAUUCGUCGUUUAUUGGGCGUAAAGGGUACGUAGGUGGGUUUAUUAUUUUCUUAGCCAAAGGACAACGGUUUUACGUUGUCAGUGCUGUUAAAGAAAAGACCUAGAGACUGUAAAAGGUUAGAAGAAUUACUAAAGUAGGGGUAAAAUGUGCUGAUCUUAGUACGAAUACCGCAUGCGCGGCAUCUUUCUUAGCAGUCUGACACUGAGGUACGAAAGCAUGGGGAUCAAACAGG